GAGCGGACAGAUGGGAGCUUGCUCCCUGAUGUUAGCGGCGGACGGGUGAGUAACACGUGGGUAACCUGCCUGUAAGACUGGGAUAACUCCGGGAAACCGGGGCUAAUACCGGAUGCUUGUUUGAACCGCAUGGUUCAAACAUAAAAGGUGGCUUCGGCUACCACUUACAGAUGGACCCGCGGCGCAUUAGCUAGUUGGUGAGGUAACGGCUCACCAAGGCGACAAUGCGUAGCCGACCUGAGAGGGUGAUCGGCCACACUGGGACUGAGACACGGCCUAACUCCUACGGGAGGCAGCAGUAGGGAAUCUUCCGCAAUGGACGAAAGUCUGACGGAGCAACGCCGCGUGAGUGAUGAAGGUUUUCGGAUCGUAAAGCUCUGUUGUUAGGGAAGAACAAGUGCCGUUCAAAUAGGGCGGCACCUUGACGGUACCUAACCAGAAAGCCACGGCUAACUACGUGCCAGCAGCCGCGGUAAUACGUAGGUGGCAAGCGUUGUCCGGAAUUAUUGGGCGUAAAGGGCUCGCAGGCGGUUUCUUAAGUCUGAUGUGAAAGCCCCCGGCUCAACCGGGGAGGGUCAUUGGAAACUGGGGAACUUGAGUGCAGAAGAGGAGAGUGGAAUUCCACGUGUAGCGGUGAAUGCGUAGAGAUGUGGAGGAACACCAGUGGCGAAGCGACUCUCUGGUCUGUAACUGACGCUGAGGAGCGAAAGCGUGGGGAGCGAC
rnacentral:rRNA from 1 species